AGUGGAUGGGGAGCAACCUAGUUGUGCGUGUGUAAAGGUAGUGCCAAGAAAAGCGGUGAUCAUGAUGAAAAUCAAUUCCCGGUACCCGAAACCGACACAGGUGGGCAAGUAGAGAAUACUAAGGGGCGCGAGGUAACUCUCUCCAAGGAACUCGGCAAAAUGACCCCGUAACUUAGGGAGAAGGGGUGCCACCGAGAGGUGGUCGCAGUGAAGAGGCCCAGGCGACUGUUUAGCAAAAACAUAGGUCUCUGCAAACUCGAAAGAGGAGGUAUAGGGGCUGACGCCUGCCCAGUGCCGGAAGGUUAAAGAAGUUGGUCAGUCUUAGGAUGAAGCUAGCGACUGAAGCCCCGGUGAACGGCGGCCGUAACUAUAACGGUCCUAAGGUAGCGAAAUUCCUUGUCGGGUAAGUUCCGACCCGCACGAAAGGCGUAACGAUCUGGGCCUGUCUCGGAGAGAGGCUCGGCGAAAUAGGAUUGUCUGUGAAGAUACGGACUACCUGCAUUUGGACAGAAAGACCCUAUGAAGCUUUACUAUAGCUUGGAAUUGUGUUCGGGCUUCCUGUGCGCAGGAUAGGUGGGAGGCGAAGAAGGUAUUCUUGUGGGGAUUCUGGAGCCAACGGUGAGAUACCACUCUCAGGAGGCUAGAAUUCUAACUUAAUUAAGGACAGUUUCAGGUGGGUAGUUUGACUGGGGCGGUCGCCUCCAAAAAGGUAACGGAGGCGUACAAAGGUUCCCUCAGACUGGUUGAAAUCAGUCGCAGAGUGCAAAGGCAGAAGGGAGCUUGACUGCGAGAAGUACAGUUCGAGCAGGGUGGAAACACGGUCUUAGUGAUCCGACGGUGCUGUGUGGAAGGGCCGUCGCUCAACGGAUAAAAGUUACUCUAAGGAUAACAGGCUGAUCUCCCCCAAGAGUUCACAUCGACGGGGAGGUUUGGCACCUCGAUGUCGGCUCAUCGCAACCUGGGGCGGAAGUACGUCCCAAGGGUUGGGCUGUUCGCCCAUUAAAGCGGUACGUGAGCUGGGUUCAGAACGUCGUGAGACAGUUCGGUCCAUAUCCGAUGUAGGCGUGAGAAUAUUGAGAGGAGCCUUCCUUAGUACGAGAGGACCGGGAAGGACGCACCGCUGGUGUACCUGUUAUGAUGCCAAUUGUAAACGCAGGGUAGCCAAGUGCGGAGAGGAUAACCGCUGAAAGCAUCUAAGUGGGAAGCCCACCUCAAGAUGAGUAUUCUGGUGUAAGGUCACGGGAAGACGACCCGUAAAUAGGCACGAGGUGGAAGUGCAGAGAUGUAUGAAGCCGAAGUGUACUAAUAGACCGUCGGCUUGACCU
rnacentral:rRNA from 1 species